rnacentral:rRNA from 1 species
AGGACGAACGCUGGCGGCGUGCUUAACACAUGCAAGUCGAGCGGAAAGGCCCUUCGGGGUACUCGAGCGGCGAACGGGUGAGUAACACGUGAGCAACCUGCCCUUAGCUCCGGGAUAGCUCCGGGAAACCGGAAUUAAUACCGGAUAUGACCUAGGCCGACAUCGGCUGUGGUGGAAAGUUUUUCGGCUGGGGAUGGACUCGCGGCCUAUCAGCUUGUUGGUGGGGUAAUGGCCUACCAAGGCGACGACGGGUAGCCGGCCUGAGAGGGCGACCGGCCACACUGGGACUGAGACACGGCCCAGACUCCUACGGGAGGCAGCAGUGGGGAAUCUUGCGCAAUGGGCGAAAGCCUGACGCAGCGACGCCGCGUGGGGGAUGAAGGCCUUCGGGUUGUAACCCCUUUCAGCAGGGACGAAGCGAAAGUGACGGUACCUGCAGAAGAAGCGCCGGCUAACUACGCGCCAGCAGCCGC